rnacentral:rRNA from 1 species
CGGUUAAGUUAGAAAGGGCGCACGGUGGAUGCCUUGGCACUAGGAGCCGAUGAAGGACGGGACGAACACCGAUAUGCUUCGGGGAGCUGUAAGCAAGCUUUGAUCCGGAGAUUUCCGAAUGGGGAAACCCACCACUCGUAAUGGAGUGGUAUCCAUAUCUGAAUACAUAGGAUAUGAGAAGGCAGACCCGGGGAACUGAAACAUCUAAGUACCCGGAGGAA